rnacentral:rRNA from 1 species
GACGAACGCUGGCGGCGUGCCUAAUACAUGCAAGUAGAACGCAGUUUCGAACGUGUUAGUAACGCGUAGGUAACUGCCUCAUAGCGGGGGAUAACUUUUGGAAACGAUAGCUAAUACCGCAUACUGUGCGAUGGACCUGCGUUGUAUUAGCUAGUUGGUGAGGUAAAGGCUCCCCAAGGCGACGAUACAUAGCCGACCUGAGAGGGUGAUCGGCCACACUGGGACUGAGACACGGCCCAGACUCCUACGGGAGGCAGCAGUAGGGAAUCUUCGGCAAUGGACGGAAGUCUGACCGAGCAACGCCGCGUGAGUGAAGAAGGUUUUCGGAUCGUAAAGCUCUGUUGUUAGAGAAGCGGGAACUAAAAAGAAAGGGACGGCUAACUACGUGCCAGCAGCCGCGGUAAUUG